rnacentral:rRNA from 1 species
UACGUAGGUGGCAAGCGUUGUCCGGAUUUAUUGGGUUUAAAGGGUGCGUAGGCGGCCCUGUAAGUCAGUGCUGAAAUCCCCCGGCUUAACCGGGGUGGUGGCAUUGAUACUGCAGGGCUUGAGUACAGAUGAGGUAGGCGGAAUUGACGGUGUAGCGGUGAAGUGCAUAGAUAUCGUCAAGAACACCGAUAGCGAAGGCAGCUUACUGGGCUGUAACUGACGCUGAUGCACGAAAGUGUGGGGAUCAAACAGG